GGGAGGCCCCUAGUCCUCGAAUUCUAGGAAUUAGUCACUCAGAUCCUAACCUCUUUGGUUCUUUCAUUGAGAUCCAUGGUUGAGUCUACUCGUUCCAAGCCUAAUAUGGACUGCAUCGAAGAGGCCAUCGCGAAACUUACCUCCAAUCAACUCAACCUCAUCGCUGCAAAGAUGUUAGGAUCUCAGUGACUAAUUUCUAGAAUUUGAGGACUAGGGACCUCCC
rnacentral:pre_miRNA from 1 species